rnacentral:rRNA from 2 species
UCGAGAAUUUUUCUCAAUGGGGGAAACCCUGAAGGAGCGACGCCGCGUGGAGGAAGAAGGUUUUCGGAUUGUAAACUCCUGUCAUUCGGGAACAAUUGCAUUCAUUUAACUGAUGAGUGUUUGAUAGUACCGGAAGAGGAAGAGACGGCUAACUCUGUGCCAGCAGCCGCGGUAAUACAGAGGUCUCAAGCGUUGUUCGGAUUCAUUGGGCGUAAAGGGUGCGUAGGUUGCAAGGUAAGUUGGAUGUGAAAUCCCGGGGCUUAACCCCGGAACUGCAUUCAAUACUGUUUUGCUAGAGUACUGGAGAGGAGAUUGGAAUUCACGGUGUAGCAGUGAAAUGCGUAGAUAUCGUGAGGAAGACCAGUGGCGAAGGCGAAUCUCUGGACAGUUACUGACACUGAGGCACGAAGGCCAGGGGAGCAAACGGG